AAUGAUUAGGUAAACAAAAGGGGUGCUGACGCGAGAAGCGGAGUAGGUCAAAAACGAUGACAUAACGUUUGACGGAAAACGCCUUGACAACAGGGAUCGAAUUGCGCGGCCUGCGACGGUCCAUCAGGCAUGCGGACGCAUGAAGGAGAGGGAAUGUGGCCGAAACCUUGCCCGAUCGUUUGACGAUCAAGCUACAGCUUAUGGGGAGAGAAGGGCUUACCAAGAUCGCAAGACCAAAAAUCGACGAGCUUACGCUGACAACCUGGUGCCUGAACAUCGGAUGAACCUCCCUUAGCCUUAGUCCUUACACUGGACACGGGCACUAAUACGCCGACAUAACAUAUCUUAAUGAUCUAUUGAUGUCGGGUCCAGUCAUCCAGCCCAAGCGGUUUCAUACAUUAUUCCAGUUUCGUUCGCACCCUGAUGCCAUUACAGAGGACAUCUGUAAGAUGUAUAACUGUGUAAGGAUUUCGCAUGAGGACAGCUAUUUGCAGUGUAAUUUAUGGAGAGACUCCCUAACAGAAUAAGUUAAAGUGUAUAAACUAGACAUAGUUACGUACGGCAACAAGCCGCCUUCUACUUGUCUGAGAGGGCUAUGCUCCAUUUGGCGAUGGAUAAGCAAGGCAGAAUUUCCCAUUGGAUCAGAAAUUCUUCGUCGCAAUUUCUACGUGGAUGAUCUAAUCAGGUGCCAAUUCCGUGGAAGAUGCUAUCAACAUUAUGCACCAGACCCCUAAAAUUCUUGCUGAGGCCACUUCAAGCUAAUACAAGAGUGCUCCAAAACUCCGUUACUUUUAGAGGAUGUAAACAAGGAGGACAGAAAAUCCUACUAAUUUGAUGAUGGGAGUGACAUCACCAAAACAUCGGGCCACGCUUGGGAUCCUAUCUCUGAUCACCUGUUGUUCUCAUUUUCUGUUCUGCAGUCAUCAUCGACGCCAUGUAGACGCUCUGUAUUAUCCACAAUUGCAAGGUGUUAUCCGUAAUUGCAAAGUGUAAAAUUUUUUGGCAAGAGCUCUGUAAGGAUAAGUUAUCCUGGGAUGAAAGCCUCCGCCGAGAUUCUUUCCAGAGGUGUUCUGUCCUCUCAGCUCUGCGAGUUCCCAGUCUGGACACACCAGUUCUUUUUAAUCGGGAGAAAGAGAAAGAUUGGCCAUCGACUGGUCUCACUGAGAAGCCGCUGCCUGGGCUUCGUCGAAGUGUAUUGCUGGACAAUCUCCGUAUGUGGACAUAUCCAUUUGAUUUAAAAUUGCAAACUCCUUUACUUCGCUGCAGCGUGUAUUCGGUUAUGUCCACAUCAUGCUUUUAUGGUCACUGGAGUCGAAUUUUGUGGGCUAUUCUUCUACAAGUCGGAGGCUCACAUAUCUUAUUUGCAGUAAAUCUUCUGGUCUAAGAGGAGGGACGAGUAUCUGGCGAACUGGAGAGUAAGUGGCGAUCUACAAGUCCUGGUCUGACGGUGAACGACAUUGUUCUUGUCAAGAACGAGAAUCUACCCCAAAUGAGGUGGCCCCUAGCUAAAGUUUUUCUAGUUGCCAUAAAGAACAAGACGUGCAGUAAACAAGCUGUGUCAGCUGCCCCUAAAGGACUCUAUUGAAUGUCUGACUUGAGCAUGUCGGACGGCGCAGCUGGCAGCAUUACCCAAGACCAAUUGUAAUAGUUAAGAUUAACGUAAAUUAAUUAUUUUAUUUUAUUUAAUACGUUCUUUAUGCUCAUCUUUGUACAGAGCGUUUGGAGAGACUCAUUUUUGAUCUCAGUCGUCUACAUACUGCGCCUGCAUACAAACUUUUUGCGCUGGUUUAACCCUUUCGCUGUCAAAUAAACUUAAAAAACCGAGAA